CCUACGGGUGGCAGCAGUGAGGGAUAUUGGUCAAUGGCCGGAAGGCUGAACCAGCCAUGCCGCGUGAAGGUCAGUGCCCUAUGGGCGUUAAACUUCUUUUGUGCGGGAGCAAUAAUGGUCACGUGUGGCCAGACGAGAGUACCGUACGAAUAAGCAUCGGCUAACCCCGUGCCAGCAGCCGCGGUAAUACGGGGGAUGUAAGCGUUAUCCGGAUUUAUGGGGUUUAAAGGGUGCGUAGGCGGUGAGGUAAGUGAGCGGGGAAAUGCCCCCGCUCAACGGGGUGAAGUGCCAUUGAUACUGCCUGGCUGGAAUGCGGAUGCCGUAGGAGGAAUGUGUGGUGUAGCGGUGAAAUGCAUAGAUAUCACACAGAACACCGAUUGCGAAGGCAUCUCACGGAUCCGCGAUUGACGCUGAUGCACGAAAGCGUGGGUAUCAAACAGGAUUAGAUACCCUUGUAGUC
rnacentral:rRNA from 1 species